UACGUAGGGUGCAAGCGUUAAUCGGAAUUACUGGGCGUAAAGCGUGCGCAGGCGGUUAUGUAAGACAGGUGUGAAAUCCCCGGGUUUAACCUGGGAACUGCAUUUGUGACUGCAUAGCUAGAGUACGGUAGAGGGGGAUGGAAUUCCGCGUGUAGCAGUGAAAUGCGUAGAUAUGCGGAGGAACACCGAUGGCGAAGGCAAUCCCCUGGACCUGUACUGACGCUCAUGCACGAAAGCGUGGGGAGCAAACAGG
rnacentral:rRNA from 1 species